rnacentral:rRNA from 1 species
AGUGAACGCUGGCGGUAGGCCUAACACAUGCAAGUCGAACGGCAGCACAGGAGAGCUUGCUCUCUGGGUGGCGAGUGGCGGACGGGUGAGGAAUACAUCGGAAUCUACUCUGUCGUGGGGGAUAACGUAGGGAAACUUACGCUAAUACCGCAUACGACCUACGGGUGAAAGCAGGGGAUCUUCGGACCUUGCGCGACUGAAUGAGCCGAUGUCGGAUUAGCUAGUUGGCGGGGUAAAGGCCCACCAAGGCGACGAUCCGUAGCUGGUCUGAGAGGAUGAUCAGCCACACUGGAACUGAGACACGGUCCAGACUCCUACGGGAGGCAGCAGUGGGGAAUAUUGGACAAUGGGCGCAAGUCUGAUCCAGCCAUACCGCGUGGGUGAAGAAGGCCUUCGGGUUGUAAAGCCCUUUUGUUGGGAAAGAAAUCCAGCUGGCUAAUACCCGGUUGGGAUGACGGUACCCAAAGAAUAAGCACCGGCUAACUUCGUGCCAGCAGCCGCGGUAA